UGCAAACACUCAUCAAAAAAUUGGCAAACACUUACCAAAAAGGAAUGGGAAGGGAAUUCACUUGAUAAGUAAUCCUAAACAUUUUUGCACACACAAAUUUUUGUAUCUGUUAUAUAUUUUUCCCCAAGAGAUAAAUUGAGUUAACUAUUCUGUAGAAAUCAGAGAUGAUGAAAACAGGUCCCAAGAUCGCGACCUCAUCCCGCGCAGUAUCUCAUGAUCACAUUGCUUUCAACAAACCAUCACAACAUAUUUCAAGAAUGUUUACAGAAAUGAUCGCCUACUCCAUGGAAAAUGUACUGCCCAAGAGGAACAGAGGUGGGUUCUACAUUCUUAAUAAAUUUGGUAAUGGUAAAAAUCACCAAGAGAGAUGGUUGUAUCAUCUCGAUGCCUAUGUCGGCACAUGUCGCGUUAAAAUUUGAAUGUAUUGAAAAAGUUGAAUCCAGCGAGUGUUGUCUUUGUCUUGAAAACAGUAGGUUGAUGGAUUGUGGGAAAUGUAAGGGUAAAGUGGGGAGGGACUGGGUAGGUUUCAACAAAAUUAGGUCUAGAUGGACUGAACGGAAAGGUCAGUUGGUCUGUAAAACUUGCUUUGGAAGGAGAGUCGCCCUUGUCUGUUUUCUGGCAGUCAAGAUCUUGAGGGCAUGGCAGUAAGGUCUGAAUAGUGGUGAUGAAGGAUAGACAUGCUUAAUUAAGGUCAUCUUCGUUAGGAAUUAAAAUGCUUUUGAUGAUCCACAACUAUAUAGCUGUCCUAUCAUAUGUAUAUCAUUGUAAUCUUUCAUAAUCCAAGAGAAUAAUAUACAUAAUAAUCAAUCUUUUCUGUACAUUGCCACAGAGUGUUCAAUAUCAUGAUGACGUUUGAGUUUGA